rnacentral:rRNA from 1 species
UGGGGAAUAUUGGACAAUGGGCGAAAGCCUGAUCCAGCCAUGCCGCGUGUGUGAAGAAGGUCUUCGGAUUGUAAAGCACUUUAAGUUGGGAGGAAGGGCAUUAACCUAAUACGUUAGUGUUUUGACGUUACCGACAGAAUAAGCACCGGCUAACUCUGUGCCAGCAGCCGCGGUAAUACAGAGGGUGCAAGCGUUAAUCGGAAUUACUGGGCGUAAAGCGCGCGUAGGGGGUUUGUUAAGUUGGAUGUGAAAGCCCCGGGCUCAACCUGGGAACUGCAUCCAAAACUGGCAAGCUAGAGUACGGUAGAGGGUGGUGGAAUUUCCUGUGUAGCGGUGAAAUGCGUAGAUAUAGGAAGGAACACCAGUGGCGAAGGCGACCACCUGGACUGAUACUGACACUGAGGUGCGAAAGCGUGGGGAGCAAACA